AUUGAACGCUGGCGGCAGGCUUAACACAUGCAAGUCGAGCGGAGAUGAGGUGCUUGCACCUUAUCUUAGCGGCGGACGGGUGAGUAAUGCUUAGGAAUCUGCCUAUUAGUGGGGGACAACAUUCCGAAAGGAAUGCUAAUACCGCAUCCGUCCUACGGGAGAAAGCAGGGGAACUUCGGACCUUGCGCUAAUAGAUGAGCCUAAGUCGGAUUAGCUAGUUGGUGGGGUAAAGGCCUACCAAGGCGACGAUCUGUAGCGGGUCUGAGAGGAUGAUCCGCCACACUGGGACUGAGACACGGCCCAGACUCCUACGGGAGGCAGCAGUGGGGAAUAUUGGACAAUGGGGGGAACCCUGAUCCAGCCAUGCCGCGUGUGUGAAGAAGGCCUUAUGGUUGUAAAGCACUUUAAGCGAGGAGGAGGCUACUGAGACUAAUACUCUUGGAUAGUGGACGUUACUCGCAGAAUAAGCACCGGCUAACUCUGUGCCAGCAGCCGCAGUAA
rnacentral:rRNA from 1 species